ensembl:ncRNA F49E10.16 ncRNA
UGUAUUGUUGCGUCUGGGAAGCCAGAAGCUUGGCAGGCAAAUGACUGCAACAUGGACACACACACAGAGAGGAGGCGCUGCCGUACGGAGGGAGAGAGGAAAAAAUGGUUGAUGAAGGCGGCAAAAAG